GCGGAUGUGGCGGAACUGGCAGACGCGCUGGGCUUAGAACCCAGUACUCUUAAAAGGAGUAUGGGAGUUCAACUCUCCCCAUCCGCA
rnacentral:tRNA from 1 species